UUCUUUUUUUUUUUUCUUCUGUCUUUGGGCUUAAAAAUCGUUCAAUUGGAGAGGUAUCUUAUGAUGGAUUUCACCCGCCACCAUAUUUUUGGCAUUUUGGGAAGCUGAUGGAACUCCCAUGAUAUCUGUGGGGCUUGAAAGAUUCUAAAUGUCGACUACAUUUAGGACAUGGGCAAGGCAAUGAGACAGAGAUUUGGUCUUUAAAAGACCCAUACAGUUAAUAGAUCCUAUGAGAGGCAUAUUCAGAAUUUCACACCA